UCGCUUGCCAGGGAACUACGAGCCCCAGCUUAAAACCCAAAGGACUUGGCGGUGCUUUAGACCCCCCUAGAGGAGCCUGUUCUAGAACCGAUAACCCCCGUUUAACCUCACCCCCUCUUGUUCUCCCCGCCUAUAUACCGCCGUCGUCAGCUUACCCUGUGAAGGACUAAUAGUGAGCGUAAUUGGUACAACCUAAAACGUCAGGUCGAGGUGUAGCGUAUGAGGGGGGAAGAAAUGGGCUACAUUUACUGAAUCAGUGAAAACGAACGAUGCCUUGAAACACCUAUCUCAAGGAGGAUUUAGCAGUAAGAGGGCAGUAGAGCGCCCCUC
rnacentral:rRNA from 1 species